rnacentral:lncRNA from 1 species
GCAAGUUCCUGUAGGAACUCCGGGGGAGUCCUGUGUGCUUCCAGGGGAGGCAGACGGUCCUCGCGGAGCACGGUGGCGUGGAGGUGGCAGGCCGCUCUGGCCACGGAUGACCCAGAAAGGUGCAGGCAAACGCUCUCAAGUUUCGAAGGAGAAACGAUUAUUCAUUCCCAGUGAGGCCAUUUUUCAGCUCGGAGGUGAAGGCCCAGGGGGCAGGAGGGCUGGGAGGGAAGGUGGAGGCUGGCGGCGGAGGGGACUGGUCCAAGGGCGCCGAAUGAUGGCAGAGCGCCUCCUGCUGGGGAGAUGGCGACGGGGAUCGCCAGGAAGGGCGCGGGGCUCCUUGCUCCAGCUUUGGCCAGGCCGUGGGUCCGUGCAGACGGGAGGCAGUUUCUUGAGCCGGUGUCUUUCAGAGAAGCCUGAGGAGGGGGCGGAGGGGCGGCCGUCUGUGCAGGCGUGCUGGCCGGGCCCGGGGCGCUGGGAGGAGCCCCCGGCACGCUCCCGCGCUGAGAUCCGGGCCUGGCCCCGGGCUUCUCAAGGGAAGCCUGGGAAGCUGCGGGAGCAUCUGCCUUCGGUGAGGGAUGUCUAGAAGCCAGUCGGGGUCCAGGAGCAGGCCUCUACCUACAUUUAUGUGGGUAAAUGAAGUCACAGCACAAAUUACCUACCCUACAUGGAAGAUAGAUCCUCCUGCGCCACCUCCUGCUUCUCUGCUGAGCCUGAGACGUGGACCCCUGCCUGGAUGUGGGGCUGGGGACGUGGCUCCUCCCUGUCUCACAGGCCCACCUCUUGUCCCUACACAGACAUUGAAUCCAGUGGCGCCCCCUGCUGCUACCUCCCUAAGCGAAAGUGGCACAAGGAGCCUUGGCGCUGGCCAGGUGCCUACUGCUGCCAAGAGCCCUCGAUCUCUGCCAGACAUGGGCACCCCCCACUCUCCAUCCCCAGGCCUCCCACCACUAGGUGGGCCAUUGGCACCGCGCCCUCAGCCACUGGCCUCUACAUUUCCCUCCCACCGAGGCACUGUCCCAGCCCGAGGGCUUUCCUACUUUUAUGAUUUGUCCACGAAGGUGACAUCUUUCAGCCCGCAGACAGCCGUCUUCCAAGCUGUUUACAGGACCUUGCACAGGGUCUUCAGGGGCUUCCAGCCUGUCACAAAUCAUGACCUGGUUUGACCUUUAAAAUGUCUCAAAAUCUAAUACUGAAGCCUUUCUUGAAUGUUUAUUUUAUUGCUUUCCAUAUAUACAUAUAUAAUUCUUCUAAACACUUUUUAAAACAAUAUCGUGUUUCAUUCUUUGUGCUAACAUGAGCUUUUUCCAUUUUAAAAAUUAAAAAAUAUGAUCAUUAGGAAUAAGAAGUCAAUAGAUUAAAAAUAAGAUAGGACACAGAUGACAUAAGGC